CCCGCUCCUGCAAGGCAGAGGCGCAGAGGCUCAGAGGCACGGCCAGACCUGUCCAGGGGUCCCAGCUUUGGUCCAAGUUGGGACCUCACACCUUGUAGGGCCAGUUCCGUCUUCUCCACUUGAUUGCAUGUUUGCAGUGAGUUCCUGAGUUAUCGGGAUGAAUGGUCAGAAAGCAGUGUGCCCACCAAUGGAUGUUUCCUGCCAUUGGGCCCCUUAGCAGUGACUUGGGUGCAAACCAGGGUGAUUUUUACAACUUUUAAACAAGUUUAAAGCAACUUUGUUGGCUUUCUUAGCUAUUUGCUUUGAAAAUAUUAAAUUCAUUUUCAGCAGGUGAGUCAUUCAACAGUCACACUUUCUGAGCAUCUAUGUUUGCAGCCAGUGUUCGAAGACCAGGGUUCUGGCCAGGUCAGAACAGGACAACAGAAUGAAAUUGUAAUGGAAAUGGUGAGAAAAGAAAAUAAAAAUGCAUAGCAUGG